rnacentral:misc_RNA from 1 species
AAAGUCGUAACAAGGUUUCCGUAGGUGAACCUGCGGAAGGAUCAUUACAUAAAAAGUUUAUACUUUUUAAACCCAUUGUGAACCAAAAACCCUGAACUGCUUCGGUAGCUGGCCUGUUCCGUUUCGACGGUUGGGUGCCGUCAGCCUACCGGUAGCAAACCUAUUAAACAUGCUUUGAAAACUUGUCGGAAAACAAUCAUUUUCGAAUGAAAAUUAAAACUUUCAACAACGGAUCUCUUGGUUCUC